rnacentral:rRNA from 1 species
UACGGGGGGGGCAAGCGUUGUUCGGAAUUACUGGGCGUAAAGGGCUCGUAGGUGGCCAACUAAGUCAGACGUGAAAUCCCUCAGCUUAACUGGGGAACUGCGUCUGAUACUGGAUGGCUUGAGUUUGGGAGAGGGUGGCGGAAUGCCCAGUGUAGAGGUGAAAUUCGUAGAUAUUGGGUAGAACACCGGUGGCGAAGGCGGCCACCUGGGAGGCUACUGACGCUGAGACGCGAAAGCGUGGGGAGCAAACAGG